UCUUGUAUGCCAUCAUCUUCACCCAAUUGCCUAUAAUAUACUUGUUCCUCAUGUUCCUUAUGCCUUGCACUAAAGGGAUUGUAAUCUUCAUCCAUUGUCUUUGCUCUUUUCUUCUUCUCACCAAUAGCUUGAAUAUUUUGUAUCAUUUGAUGGUGAAUAUCAGCCGAUACCUUGCGGCAUAGUUCUACUUCUCCUUUUACUCCUGCA
rnacentral:lncRNA from 1 species